rnacentral:rRNA from 1 species
UACGUAGGGCGCAAGCGUUGUCCGGAAUUAUUGGGCGUAAAGAGCUCGUAGGCGGCCUGUUACGUCUGCUGUGAAAUCCCGGGGCUUAACCCCGGGCGUGCAGUGGGUACGGGCAGGCUGGAGGCAGGCAGGGGAGAACGGAAUUCCCGGUGUAGCGGUGAAAUGCGCAGAUAUCGGGAGGAACACCGGUGGCGAAGGCGGUUCUCUGGGCCUGUACUGACGCUGAGGAGCGAAAGCGUGGGGAGCGAACAGG